GGACCCUCUUCACUACUGUCUCCAGGGGACAUAAAUCUCUUGGUUAAGGACGUGUGCAAUGACUGCCCUCCUGGGCCCCCGGGCCUCCCUGGUCUGCCAGGUUUUAAAGGGGACAGAGGUCUCCCAGGAAAGCCAGGGAGAGAAGGCACAGAAGGGAAAAAGGGAGAUGCUGGGCCCAGGGGCCUCCCGGGGCCUCCAGGAAUAGCCGGACCACAGGUCAGUGAGCCCUCAUUAAUGUCGUUGCAUCCAUUCUGCUCAUCUCACUGGUCAAUCUAC
rnacentral:lncRNA from 1 species